AAAUUUGAAAGCUGGCUCCUUCGGAGUCCGCGUUGUAAUUUGUAGAGGAUGAUUCGGCAAGGGCUCCCGCCUAAGUCUCCUGGAACGGAGCGUCAUAGAGGGUGAGAAUCCCGUAUGCGGUGGGCUGCCUAAGCCAUGUGAAUCUCCUUCGACGAGUCGAGUUGUUUGGGAAUGCAGCUCUAAAUGGGAGGUAAAUUUCUUCUAAAGCUAAAUACCGGCCAGAGACCGAUAGCGCACAAGUAGAGUGAUCGAAAGAUGAAAAGCACUUUGGAAAGAGAGUUAAAAAGUACGUGAAAUUGUUGAAAGGGAAGCGCUUGCAGCCAGACUUGUCCGCAGUUGCUCAGCCGGUCUCCUGACCGGUGUAUUCUUCUGCGGCCAGGCCAGCAUCAGUUCGGGCGGUCGGAUAAAGACCUCGGGAACGUAGCUCCUCUCGGGGAGUGUUAUAGCCCGGGGUGGAAUGCGGCCAGCCUGGACUGAGGAACUCGCUUCGGCUAGGAUGCUGGCGUAAUGGCUGUAAGCGGCCCGUCUUGAAACACGGACCAAGGAGUCUAACAUCUAUGCGAGUGUUUGGGUGUCAAACCCAUGCGCGUAAUGAAAGUGAACGGAGGUGGGAACCCUCACGGGUGCACCAUCGACCGAUCCUGAUGUCUUCGGAUGGAUUUGAGUAAGAGCAUAGCUGUUGGGACCCGAAAGAUGGUGAACUAUGCCUGAAUAGGGUGAAGCCAGAGGAAACUCUGGUGGAGGCUCGCAGCGGUUCUGACGUGCAAAUCGAUCGUCAAAUUUGGGUAUAGG
rnacentral:rRNA from 1 species